AGACAGGUUUUUGGCUUGAUCACAGAUUUUUGAAAAAAUGACCUGGCAUCCCUGCUGUCAAGUGUAAAUGUCAUAUUUAUAAUUUUCACUUUUCAGAAAACCAGGAAUUCUAGGACUUGCCGUUUCAACCUAUUUGAAGGCUGCGAUUUCUUCGUUACAGUUAUUAAGAUGAACGCUCCACGUCUUGCUCUCGCUGCCCGAACUGUUUUCAUGCAGAAGCGCGGAGUAGGUUCCGUCACGGAAGGAAUGCCUCAAGUCCGCAUUUCUCUUGGAGAGAAGUUCGCACACGGCAUUCUAAUUACUGCUGGUGUCCUAGCUUAUCCGAUCUGGGUUUUAACUCACGUUAGCGAGUACAGGGGUAUCAAGUAAAUAUCGAAAGCCUAGAUCAUCGAUACACAGGACACAUCGCUUGGAAAGUUAUGUAUUCAUAGUCGACGGAGGUGUGUCGGGUAAAUAUAUGUUAAGCUAGAAAUGUGAAAAUUAAAGCUGUACAAAAAUUAAAA